rnacentral:rRNA from 1 species
CAGAGACUGCAAGCGUUAUUCGGAUUCACUGGGCGUAAAGGGUGCGCAGGCGGUCGUGUGUGCCAGAUGUGAAAUCCCGGAGCUUAACUCCGGAACUGCGUCUGAAACUACACGACUAGAGCAUUGGAGAGGGAAGUGGAAUUCAUGGUGUAGCAGUGAAAUGCGUAGAUAUCAUGAGGAACACCAGAGGCGAAGGCGACUUCCUGGACAAUUGCUGACGCUCAGGCACGAAAGCAUGGGGAGCAAAAGGGAUUAGAUACCCCUGUAGUCCAUGCCCUAAACGGUGCACACUAGGUCUUGGAGGAUUCGACCCCUUCAGGGCCCAAGCUAACGCGUUAAGUGUGCCGCCUGAGGACUACGGUCGCAAGACUA